rnacentral:rRNA from 1 species
AGUGAACGCUGGCGGUAGGCCUAACACAUGCAAGUCGAACGGCAGCACAGUAAGAGCUUGCUCUUACGGGUGGCGAGUGGCGGACGGGUGAGGAGUACAUCGGAAUCUACUUUUUCGUGGGGGAUAACGUAGGGAAACUUACGCUAAUACAGCAUACGACCUACGGGUGAAAGCAGGGGAUAUUCGGACCUUGCGCGGUUGAAUGAGCCGAUGAUGGUUUAGCUAGUUGGGGGGGUAAAGACCCACCUAGUCGACGAUACGUAGCUGGUGUGGGUGGAGGAUAAGCCGCACUGGAGCGUAGACACGGUCCAUGCUCCUACGGUAGGCAGCAGUGGGGAAUAUUAGACAGUGGGCGCAAGCCUGAUCCAGCCGUACCGCGUGGGUGGAGAAGGCCUUCCGGGUGUGAAGCCCUUUUGUUGGGAAAGAAAAGCAGCAGGUUAUUACCCCGCGGUUCUGACGGUACCCAAAGAAGAAGCACCGGCUAACUUCGUG